GUACAAUGUUGCACAGUUCUGGGGAACUCUAUGGAAAUGGACAACGUUGAGGGUUUGAAAAGCUGGGAGCUAUGAGGCCGACUUGAAGUGCUAACACAGCAGCUAACACUCAGGGAAGGCUCUAAUCCUUUGGCCCCCUCUGCCUAGACAUCUGUUCGUGGACUGUGGCUUUUGCCGAACAAAAAAAAUAGAGAACUACCCAAGAAACCACUCAAAAAAACAAC